AACCUGGUUGAUCCUGCCAGUAGUCAUAUGCUUGUCUCAAAGAUUAAGCCAUGCAUGUCUCAGUACCUGCCGACCUAAGGCGAAACCGCGAAUGGCUCAUUAAAUCAGUCAUGAUUUAUGGGAUGUUGUAAAAUCCAUACUCGGAUAACUGUGGUAAUUCUAGAGCUAAUACGUGCAAUCAGUCUCCGACCCCGGCCCUCGCGGUCGGGGGAAGGGCGCAUUUGUUAGACCAAAAACCGGGUGGACAGUCGGGGCAAUCUCCGCUUCGCGCGGUUGCAUUCGUCCUCGUCCAUUCCUCUACGGUUAUGUGGUGACUCUGGAUAACUAUAGCCGAGCGCUGAGGUCUUAGUACCGGCGCCGUAUCCUUCAAGUGUCUGCCUUAUCAGCUCUCGAUUGUAGGUUAUUCGCCUACAAUGGCUGUAACGGGUAACGGGGAAUCAGGGUUCGAUUCCGGAGAGGGAGCCUGAGAAACGGCUACCACAUCUAAGGAAGGCAGCAGGCACGCAAAUUACCCAAUCCCGGCUCGGGGAGGUAGUGACGAAAAAUAACGAUGCGGGACUCUUCCGAGGCCUCGCAAUCGGAAUGAGUCCAAUUUAAAAACAUGGACGAGGAUCCAUUGGAGGGCAAGUCUGGUGCCAGCAGCCGCGGUAAUUCCAGCUCCAAUAGCGUAUAUUAAAGUUGCUGCGGUUAAAAAGCUCGUAGUUGGAUUUCUGAUGCGGACCGGGAGCCCAUCCAAGGCGCGCCCUCGUCUUUAGCGAGCGGCGUUCCCUGGGGUUCUUCCCGUGUCCCGGCAGCGGCCGACGGGGUGUCGGUGCGUCGCCGUCGCUGGCGUAGUAACCUCUAUCGCGGCUUCCUAGGCCGUCGUACGCGCCCCUCGCUAAGAGUGGGCGGUUUCGGCGUCUCUCCCGAUUAAGGGCGGGUUCGCGAAGGUCGGAUCAGCGGAGACCGAGCUCCCGUCGGGCAUUGAUCAAGGGCGGCGACGUUCAAAUUACCUUUCCAUUAAAGGGUUUGCCUCCGCUGCGGGUCGCCUCUCCCCGUAUCUCUUCUUCCGCAUCUCUCGCUCGUCCCCUCGCAAAAUAAAAUUCGGCUCGUUCGCAUUCCAAACCGUGGCGCUUACGCCGUCGGGCAGGUCUAUCACGACCGGUUCCGACGGGUCGGCGUUUCGGGCGGCGAGUUCGGACAGCGCAGGGGUCGUUAAAAAACGGGCGAUGAAGCUCUGCGGAACGAAGGUGCGGGUGACGCGAUCCGUGUACGCAAGGUUUUCCCGGAUUGCGUAAGUUCGUCGUUCCGGUUUGCUCGUUUCGGUCUCGGUUCUCUCCCGGCCUGCUCGCACCGUCCCGGGUGUUGCUCCGUCGUUGCCGCUUCGCUCGAGGGGAGCCUCUGCGGCGUCCACCUAGGUCUGAGAAAUGUUUCUUCUCGCCAGCGCGCGCGCGGCCAUCGCUCCUCUCUCGGGUAGAUCCCGCUGUUCGGGGCGAUAAAAAGCGGGAGGGUUAAAGCUCCUCGGCGGCGUUUUUGCUCCUGGCGGGUAAGCGCGCCCGGUGGUUCACUGCCCGGCUCCGUGUUUCGAACAGCCGUCGGCUCUCACGGGGUGCUCUUUACCGAGUGUCCCGCGUGGCCGGCAAGUUCACUUUGAAAAAAUUAGAGUGCUCAAAGCAGGCUAAAAUAUUUACGCCCGAAUGGUAGCGCAUGGAAUGAUGGAACAGGACCUCGGUCCUGCCUUUUUCAGCCCGGUUUUUCGGAACCGAGGUAAUGAUUAACGGGGACAGACGGGGGCAUUAGUAUUGCGGCGCGAGAGGUGAAAUUCUUGGACCGUCGCAAGACUAACUACUGCGAAAGCAUUUGCCAAGAAUGUUUUCCAUUAAUCAAGAACGAAAGUUAGAGGAUCGAAGGCGAUCAGAUACCGCCCUAGUUCUAACCAUAAACGAUGCCAACUGGCGAUCCGUCGGCGUCAUUCCCACGACUCGACGGGGAGCCCCCGGGAAACCAAAGUCUUUGGGUUCCGGGGGAAGUAUGGUUGCAAAGCUGAAACUUAAAGGAAUUGACGGAAGGGCACCACCAGGAGUGGAGCCUGCGGCUUAAUUUGACUCAACACGGGGAACCUCACCAGGCCCAGACACUGGAAGGAUUGACAGAUUGAGAGCUCUUUCUCGAUUCGGUGGUUGGUGGUGCAUGGCCGUUCUUAGUUGGUGGAGCGAUCUGUCUGGUUGAUUCCGAUAACGAACGAGACUCUACCCUGCUAACUAGUCGGCGGAUCGACUCCCAAGACGGGUUUCCUUCCGCGGGGUUUUCGGGCGAGGGUUGCCUCGGCCCGUCGUCGUUCCCUCGCGGCCUUACUGCGCGGUCGGGUACACGCUCUCGAUCCGUUUCCCGGGUGUUGGGCGGGUAGAGGGGAGGAGGUCUCGCGCCUUUCUCUUCCUCUCCUCCCUCCUCGGGGCGGUUUCGUUGUUGCGUCGUUCCGGCUCGUAGUAUCGUCCGCUUGGGGCUGAAGCGGCGGCGGUGUUCUUGGUCCUCGUCUUGCCUCGCGCGUUGGGGCUCUGCGAGGGGCGUUCGUCGCAAUAUCUUCUUAGAGGGAUCGGCGGCGUCCAGCCGCAAGAGAGAGAGCAAUAACAGGUCUGUGAUGCCCUUAGAUGUCCUGGGCCGCACGCGCGCUACAAUGUAGGGAUCAACGUGCUUUCCCCCUCCGAAAGGAGCGGGUAACCCGUUGAAACCCCUACUCGAUUGGGAUUGGGGAUUGUAAGUGUUUCCCAUGAACGAGGAAUUCCCAGUAAGCGCAAGUCAUCAGCUUGCGCUGAUUACGUCCCUGCCCUUUGUACACACCGCCCGUCGCUACUACCGAUUGAAUGAUUCAGUGAGGGCAUCGGACUGGCGCCUUCGGUAGCCGUCGGCUCGUAUUCCAAACUCCGCUUCGGCGGGGGCGGUCGCCGGCACCCUAGGCUGACGGAAAGAUGUCCGAACUUGAUUAUUUAGAGGAAGUAAAAGUCGUAACAAGGUUUCCGUAGGUGAACCUGGGAAGGAUCA
rnacentral:rRNA from 1 species